ensembl:lncRNA novel transcript, antisense to PPIH
GUCUUUUCUUUAAUGGCCGUGUAGUCGCGGCACAGCCGAGGGUUUCUGGAAUUGCCUUAAACGUAUGCGUUUGAAGAGCGUACCCUUUUGUCGGAGCAGUCACCUUGGAGGGACCACGCAGGCUAUGGCAGCCCGGGUUCAGCAUGUUUAGGGCGAGGGUGUGCUCCAUGGGGACCUGCCUUCUGAUCCGUUUUACCAGGCAUAUAUUUAAAAAAAUGUGUCUUCCUUUCCAAGUAUUCACAUCUUUUUCUACUGACCACAAAUCAGAUUUAAUUCAACUCACAUUUAUUGAACAAGCUAGCCUGUUUUGUUUUUUCACUUUAUUCCUGCAACAGCCACGUGAUAGAGGGAUUACUAUCCACGUUUCACAAACGAUAAAAUUGAGGCUGCCACCUGAUGUUACUGAAGUCCUCCACCCACCUUCUUUCGUUCUUUUUUAAGCGUCUACUAUCGGCUGGGGAUGGAAUAGUUCGCGAGUCAGUUUCUGCCUUCUGAUGGAGGCAGAAAUUUAAACAGCCAACACGGUUUCGGUCCCAGAGGUAAAGAGAAAGGGAAGUCCACACUCUGGGUUUAUGGCCUUGAAGUCGAGCAAGCUAUACUAAGAGAACAGAGCUGUAUAGUAUUCCACUGAAGAGAAUGGAACCUCUACGUGUGUAAGACUUGGCUGCAAUGCAAGCAGCUUUGCCUUUGUACUGGACUGGAAUGGACUGGAGCCAGACAUUCUCUCCACUCCUGGCCUUUUCAGCUGGCAGAGCUUCUGAGUUUCAGGACAGGGAACAUACAGUGUCACAUGCCCAGCAGGCACAUAAAUAUUUGCUGCCAAAUCUCCAGUGUUCCCCAGACCCAUAUUUUCAUGUAAAACCUCUUUUCUCUUGCCUGGACUACUACUGCAGUAGACUCCUCACUGGCCUCCAGCCCAUCCUCCACAAUGCUGCUAGAAUCAUCUUCUGAACAUGAAAAUUCAUCUACAGUAUUCUGCUGAAAAUCCUUAAGUGGUUCAUAUUGGCCUGAUUCUUUUUUGGAGGGUCAGUGCCCCUUUUGAGAAUCUCAGGAGCACAGUGGACUCCUUCCCCAAAAGGGAAAAAUUACUUCAUGCCUGAAAGUCAGCCUCUGCCCUCAGAAUAACAUAUGAACUGCUAAACUUGGCACUGGCUUUCACUACUGGCCCUGGCCUCUCUCCAACCUUCUCACCAUUUGCUUUUCAUAUCUUCCUGCUUCAGUCAUAUUGAAUUAUUUGCAGCUUCCUCUACACUUCCUGCUGUUUCCUGCCUUUGUGACUUUGCAUAGGCUGUUCCCUCUGCCUGGAAUGCCCUGCCCAGUUUUAGCCACCUGACAAGUUAUAUUCUUUCUUGUACUAAACUGAAGCAUCAUCUCUUCUGUAGUCUACUCAACCACUCUGGGAAGAUCCGGGCAUUUAUGCUUUCCUCACCUUGUUCUAAAACCUCCAAUACAGGGCUUUAUUGUACUGUAAUUGUCAGUUCUCCCAAGAGACUGAGUUCCUUGAAGGAUGGAACUGACUUUUCAAAUCUGUAGCCUCAUAUGCAGCAUGGGAACUAUCUUAAUUCAUCAGCGCUUAGUUGUGGAAUGAAUAGAGGACCAGCCCAACUGCCACCAACACAUAUUUCCUAAUCUUCCCCUACGGGAAUGUCUCGCAUCUAUAGGUAAUUCUAGAAUGAAACACAGUGUUUCCUAAACCUUAGUCAUUCAAAUAGCAUCUUCACAACUGUUACAAUAUCUAUCAUCCACAGGUACAAUUUAUUUUUUAAGCUAAUCACUAUUUGAACUUCAAUAUUGCCUCACUAUAAGCUGUAAUAACUGUAAAAUGAUGUAUUGUGCUAAUUCCGUAUUUUUUCCUAAGAUCCAAAUAUUAAAAUAAAAGACAGUC